GCAGUUGGGCUGCAAUUGGGCAGCGGUUUUACCUCCAUUUUGAGACCAGACGACUGGACUCAUGUCUUCCAACUCAAGUACCAGUCAGUGGCCAAGACCUGGAGGGCAAGCACCUUCAUCCCCAAGCUAUGAAAACUCACUCCACUCCCUGCAGUCUCGAAUGGAGGAUCGUUUAGACAGACUGGAUGAUGCAAUCCAUGUGCUGCGGAACCAUGCUGUGGGACCUUCCACCAGUUUGCCUGCUGGUCACAGUGAUAUACAUAGUUUAUUGGGACCAUCCCAUAAUGCACCAAUUGGAAGCCUCAAUUCAAACUAUGGAGGAUCAAGCCUUGUUGCAAGCAGUCGAUCAGCUUCAAUGGUUGGAACUCAUCGGGAAGACUCUGUCAAUCUCAAUGGCAAUCAUUCAGUCCUGUCUAGUACAGUCACUACUUCAAGCACAGACCUGAACCAUAAAACACAAGACAAUUAUAGAGGUGGCUUGCAAAGUCAGUCUGGAACUGUUGUUACAACAGAAAUCAAGACUGAAAACAAAGAAAAGGAUGAAAACCUUCAUGAACCUCCUUCAUCAGAUGACAUGAAGUCAGAU
rnacentral:sRNA from 1 species